UACGUAGGGUGCGAGCGUUAAUCGGAAUUACUGGGCGUAAAGCGUGCGCAGGCGGUUAUGCAAGACAGAGGUGAAAUCCCCGGGCUCAACCUGGGAACUGCCUUUGUGACUGCAUAGCUAGAGUACGGUAGAGGGGGAUGGGAUUCCGCGUGUAGCAGUGAAAUGCGUAGAUAUGCGGAGGAACACCGAUGGCGAAGGCAAUCCCCUGGACCUGUACUGACGCUCAUGCACGAAAGCGUGGGGAGCAAACAGG
rnacentral:rRNA from 1 species